rnacentral:snRNA from 1 species
CAUAUACUAAAAAUUGGAACCAUACAGAGAAGAAUAGCAUGGCCCCUGCGAAAGGAUGACACGAAAAUUUGUGAAGCAUUCCAUAUUUGG